UGGGGAAUCUUGCGCAAUGGGCGAAAGCCUGACGCAGCAACGCCGCGUGCGGGAUGACGGCCUUCGGGUUGUAAACCGCUUUCAGCAGGGACGAAAAUGACGGUACCUGCAGAAGAAGCCCCGGCUAACUACGUGCCAGCAGCCGCGGUAAUACGUAGGGGGCAAGCGUUGUCCGGAUUUAUUGGGCGUAAAGAGCUCGUAGGCGGUUCCGUAAGUCGUGAAGUCAAAUCUCUGGGCUCAACCCAGAAUCGCUUCCGAUACUGCGGUGACUGGAGUCCGGUAGGGGAGUGUGGAAUUCCUGGUGUAGCGGUGAAAUGCGCAGAUAUCAGGAGGAACACCAACAGCGAAGGCAGCACUCUGGGCCGGUACUGACGCUGAGGAGCGAAAGCGUGGGGAGCGAACAG
rnacentral:rRNA from 1 species